GAUGAACGCUGACAGAAUGCUUAACACAUGCAAGUCUUUGGCGAAGCUGUGCUCGCACAGCCUAGCCAAGGCGGACGGGUGAGUAACGCGUAAGGAACUUGCCCUGCAGUCAGGGAUAACAGACGGAAACGACUGAUAAGACCUGGUAAAGUCAGGCGGACUCAUGUCCAGCCUGAUGAAAAGAGAUGCUGCAGGAGAGCCUUGCGUCCUAUUAGCUUGUUGGUGGGGUAACGGCCCACCAAGGCGAUGAUAGGUAGCCGGCCUGAGAGGGUGGACGGCCACAAGGGGACUGAGAUACGGCCGUUACUCCUACGGGAGGCGGCAGUGGGGAAUAUUGGACAAUGGGGGCAACCCUGAUCCAGCAAUUCUGUGUGCAAGAUGAAGGUUUUCGGAUUGUAAAGUGCUUUCAGCAGGGAAGAAAAAAAUGACGGUACCUGCAGAAGAAGCGACGGCUAAAUACGUG
rnacentral:rRNA from 1 species